UAAGCGGAGGAAAAGAAACUAACUAGGAUUCCCUUAGUAACGGCGAGUGAACCGGGAUGAGCUCAAAUUUGAAAUCUGGCGUCUUUCAGGCGUCCGAGUUGUAAUCUAUAGAGGCGUUUUCCGCGCCGGACCGCGUCCAAGUCUCUUGGAAUAGAGUAUCAAAGAGGGUGACAAUCCCGUACUUGACGCGACAACCGGUGCUCUGUGAUACGUUCUCAAUGAGUCGAGUUGUUUGGGAAUGCAGCUCUAAAUGGGUGGUAAAUUCCAUCUAAGGCUAAAUAUUGGCGAGAGACCGAUAGCGAACAAGUACCGUGAGGGAAAGAUGAAAAGCACUUUGGAAAGAGAGUUAAACAGCACGUGAAAUUGUUAAAAGGGAAACGAUUGAAGUCAGUCGUGUGAGGGGUAUUCAGCCGUCUCUGGCGGUGUAUUUGCCUCUCACGGGUCAACAUCAGUUUGAUCCGGUAGAAAAAGGCGGGAGGAAGGUGGCACCCUCGGGUGUGUUAUAGCCUCCUGUCAUAUGUGCCGGACCAGACUGAGGAACGCAGCUUGCAGCAAUGCCGGGGUUCGCCCACGUACAAGCUUAGGAUGUUGACAUAAUGGCUUUAAACGAC
rnacentral:rRNA from 1 species